AGAGUUUGAUCCUGGCUCAGGAUGAACGCUAGCGGCAGGCUCAACACAUGCAAGUCGAGGGGCAGCGGGGAGGAAGCUUGCUUUCUCCGCCGGCGACCGGCGCACGGGUGAGUAACACGUAUGCAACCUGCCCCUGUCAGGGGGACAACCCGCCGAAAGGCGGGCUAAACCCGCGUACAUGCCACCGGGGCAUCCCGGAGGCAGGAAAGGCUUCGGCCGGACAGGGAUGGGCAUGCGGCGCAUUAGGCAGUAGGCGGGGUAACGGCCCACCUAACCGACGAUGCGUAGGGGUUCUGAGAGGAAGGUCCCCCACACUGGUACUGAGACACGGACCAGACUCCUACGGGAGGCAGCAGUGAGGAAUAUUGGUCAAUGGUCGGGAGACUGAACCAGCCAAGCCGCGUGAGGGAGGAAGGUACAGAGUAUCGUAAACCUCUUUUGUCAGGGAACAAAGGCGGGGACGUGUCCCCGGAUGAGUGUACCUGAAGAAAAAGCAUCGGCUAACUCCGUGCCAGCAGCCGCGGUAAUACGGAGGAUGCGAGCGUUAUCCGGAUUUAUUGGGUUUAAAGGGUGCGCAGGCGGUCUGUUAAGUCAGCGGUCAAAGCCCGGGGCUCAACCCCGGCCCGCCGUUGAAACUGGCAGUCUCGAGUUGGAGAGAAGUAUGCGGAAUGCGCGGUGUAGCGGUGAAAUGCAUAGAUAUCGCGCAGAACUCCGAUUGCGAAGGCAGCAUGCCGGCUCCACACUGACGCUGAGGCACGAAAGCGUGGGUAUCGAACAGGAUUAGAUACCCUGGUAGUCCACGCAGUAAACGAUGAAUGCUGGCUGUCCGGGGGGAUUGACCCCUGGGUGGCGAAGCGAAAGCGAUAAGCAUUCCACCUGGGGAGUACGCCGGCAACGGUGAAACUCAAAGGAAUUGACGGGGGCCCGCACAAGCGGAGGAACAUGUGGUUUAAUUCGAUGAUACGCGAGGAACCUUACCCGGGCUCAAACGGGGAGUGACUCAGGCAGAGACGCCUGUUUCCCACGGGACACUCCCCGAGGUGCUGCAUGGUUGUCGUCAGCUCGUGCCGUGAGGUGUCGGCUUAAGUGCCAUAACGAGCGCAACCCCCGCGUGCAGUUGCUAACAGAUAACGCUGAGGACUCUGCACGGACUGCCGGCGCAAGCCGCGAGGAAGGCGGGGAUGACGUCAAAUCAGCACGGCCCUUACGUCCGGGGCGACACACGUGUUACAAUGGGUGGUACAGCGGGAAGCCAGGCGGCGACGCCGAGCGGAACCCGAAAUCCACUCUCAGUUCGGAUCGGAGUCUGCAACCCGACUCCGUGAAGCUGGAUUCGCUAGUAAUCACGCAUCAGCCAUGGCGCGGUGAAUACGUUCCCGGGCCUUGCACACACCGCCCGUCA
rnacentral:rRNA from 1 species